GCCGCCGUACGGGUGUAAGGCUGUGUGCCCCGUUCUCGGAAGCGUCGACGGGUUUCCGGCAUGCGGAUUUCAGCGUUUGGACUCGACUUUUGGUGAAGAUGUCGAUCGACCUUGGGCCUGGUAACAGCACACCCGACAUGGCCAAAGUGCAGUCUAUCAGUUGAGUGCCCCCGAAUGGACCAUCAACAUCGGAAAAUGAAACAGAGCCAGGGGGAAAAGGUUCCGGUAACACCAUGCAUUCAGUAUGGUGGCCCAGACGUGUAUGCAAGCAAUCUCCUUCAUGUGGACCAAGAACUACUCUGCAGUGUCUCGCAGACUUCCAUGCGAAGUCCUCAACAUUCUCGUCUCAGUGGAAUGGCUGCUCAUCUAUCUGCGUGUCCAUCACCAAGACGGCCAGUUGUAAAGCUCCUGUACCCGUUUAAGAAAGCUUAAUGAUUUUUUUAUUUAGUUUUCACGGUUGGCCAUAGAAUCUUAACAUUUUUGAUGUUUAUAACAUUUUUACCUGGCACAAAGUGGUGCAAUAACUUUAAACCAGUGUAAUGUAUUUAAGUGAUGCUCACUUUAAUGCCUAUCUGGUUUUGUUAGUGUUUAAGAAAUUUGUAUGUCUGAUGAGGUAACAGCAUUUGAAUUUGUCAUCGUGGCUCGUUUCAAUGAGCUGCUAGGAAAAAAGUCGCAAAACUUAUCACACGCCAGUUGUAGCAUUUUUGUUUUCAUGACUAUAGUAUACACGUUUCAAAAGAUGGAAAGUGGGGAAAAAAACCUGUAGAACAUAAUCAUCCUAGGAUUGUCAUGUCCUUACAACUCCGCAAUGAUAAUGCCUCAUACAUCUUGGGAGCACAUUGGUCACAAUGCCUGCAGGUAUACUUGAUAAGAGAAUAGCUUGCACCCAGAUUUGCCACACAGUUGAUGGCUGAUGGCUUUUGUUUGUCGUCUUCAUGUUACUACUAUGUAUUCAAUAUUCAUUUAGAUGUAAAGGACACUAGAGGCACUGAAGUACCAAAUGGCACUUGCAUUUCAGGGGACAAAGUGCCCAGCAUGCCUGUCACAAAACGUGUUCUAGGGGCUACCUUGCCUCUAUAGGUAAAUGGAUACCAGAUGCUCUGUGUACAGUGUAAUCGGUGUACUUGUCUGAAGUGCUUGAAAGAUGUGCUACGGGCUGUACUGGCACUGUCUGAAGAUAAUGCAUGGUUCUAGAAAGCCUGCAGCUGAGCAUCUGCCACCAUACUGAAGGAACUGUCCUAAUUUUGUUGUUGAAAUGUAGGAGCUGCAAUGAAUAGUUGUGAAUGUGUGCUCUGAAUCUUUUAAUGUGAAAUGCCUUGAUUAUUUCCCGUGUGGUUUGACAUUUGUCUCGAAAUAAUUUUUGUGUCUUCAAACAAAGGUUUACAACCGCAAUUGAAACAAUGUGAUGCUAGAUGUGAAGCAUUAGGGUUGUAAAGUGAAUGUUUGUUUUCUUUUAGUCUAAUAUUAAUGCACCUGCCGCUCUGUACAAUGUAAGUCUUCCCUCACUUGAGAGGAUACUGAUAAACUAUACCAGUGUUACAAGGCACAAAAUGGGACACAUGACUAA